AGUCUGCAACUCGACUACAUGAAGCUGGAAUCGCUAGUAAUCGCGGAUCAGAAUGCCGCGGUGAAUACGUUCCCGGGUCUUGUACACACCGCCCGUCACACCAUGGGAGCUGGUAACGCCCGAAGCCUGUGACCCAACCUAAUAGGAGGGAGCAGUCGAAGGUGGGACCGGUGACUGGGGUGAAGUCGUAACAAGGUAGC
rnacentral:rRNA from 1 species